CCCGUCCCACCUUGACCUCCACCUUGUUUAUGAUUAAAAGGUAGCUUACACUUAUUACAAAUAACAAUAGAGUUUUUCUUAUCUAAAGUCAUAAAUUACCACACAACAGAAGUUUUAGGGCGUUGAUACUUCACCUUCUCCCUUGUAGGAGGUAUAAGGGGUGGGCGUCCAGAAUUUUGCUCCGUUGAAUUUGUAGUUUCAUUUGGAACUUCUGUCACUGGACUAGUAGGUGUAUCUUCUAAUUCCUCUUCUCCCGAACCAACUUCUACUUCUUCACCUGAAUUUUCAUCAAGAUAAGGAUUAAUAUCACCAUAAAUUUGUUGUAAAAUUUCAUGAUCGAGUUGAGCAUUUGAAUCAAUAUCAUAAGAAGUAUCAUCAACAUAAGUAGAAUCAUUUGUAUUAAAUCUAACUCUAGACAUUGAUUUAGAAGAAGUACCACCACAUUUACUCUUAUUUUUU
rnacentral:lncRNA from 1 species